AUGCACCCAAGUGCGGGUUUUGCAUUACUUGUUGCUCUGUGCGUUUUGUGUAAAAGCAAACGUAUAGUGUGACUUUAAGUGUGACGGAUGUUUUACCGGUGAGGGAAACGACUAAUUAUGCCCCUAUAUUGGCUUUCGGGUUAUAUAUAGGUCAAGCAUAUUAAUACGCCCCUUAUGUUAAAAGACCCAUUUUAGUGCUCUUUACCGAGUGCUAUUGUGGGCCGGUACAAUUACUUUGAACAAAUUAGAGUGCUUAAAGCAGGCUAAAUUUAAUGAAAAUUAAAACGCCUGAAUAUAUUUUGCAUGGAAUAUGACCUCUGGUCUAUUUGAUUGGUUUUUAGAUGUCAAGAGGUAAUGAUUAAUAGAAGCAGUUGGGGUCAUUAGUAUUACGAGGCGAGAGGUGAAAUUC
rnacentral:rRNA from 1 species